UGGGUUAGAACUCCCCUCAGGUCGGCUUCGCAACGGAGUCGACGAGGCUCGCCACGCCGGCAGCGGGCCUCACCGGCAGCCUGUCUGCCCGGUCUCGCCGAGAGACCACCAGGAACACCAGUCAAC
rfam:Pseudomonas balearica DSM 6083 genome assembly, contig: Ga0056079_105